ACCACCUGCCCGAGGAGGAUGCCUCUGCUUCCUCAUCCCCUUACAUAUUUUGCAAAUACUUUCUCUUCUCCCCUAAAAUAGAGGCAGCGCUGUAUCAGUGAGAAGAGGCCCCAGAAACUGCUGGGACCCUGCUCCUACUCCAACUGAGACUGUAUCCAGUAGGCAGAAGCCUACUCGCUGCAGUGAGACUGCUCUUUAUGGCCAGGUUAGAGGUGCUAUGAGUCGUCACGCUCUCACUCAACAAGAGUGAGACAGACGUUUAGGAUCCUAUCAGCAAACCUAAGGGAAUAACGAUUUGUUAUGAGCACCGAGGUCUUGUUGAAGUCUUCUUCCAAAGGCAGAGUCACCUCUCAGGCACGAACUUUUCCUGGCUAAUAGUACAAAAGGCUGACAAGCCUGAGUACUGGCAAUUUUCACAUGAAAACACCUUCUCUAAUCAUGGCCUGCAUGCUCCAAUACGGAGUUCCUUUUAAAAAUCAAGUUUUGGGAUACUGUGAUGCAACAGAGCUCUUAACACAGGACUCACAAAAAGAAACAUGAACUUUAUUUAAACUUUCUCGAAAACUGAAAACUCACUGACACUCU
rnacentral:lncRNA from 1 species